CCCUAAAUCUUGGUACUUACUACACUAGAGUAUCCGCCCGGGAACUACGAGCACAAACGCUUGAAACCCUAAGGACUUGGCGGUGCCUCAAACCCACCUAGAGGAGCCUGUCCUAUAAUCGAUAACCCACGAUACACCCGACCGCCCCUUGCCAGAACAGCCUACAUACCGCCGUCACCAGUCCACCUUUUUGAAGGCACAACAGUGGGCAGGAUAGCCUCACNNCGCUAACAAGACAGGUCAAGGUAUAGCCCACGGGGUGGAAGAGAUGGGCUACACUCUCUACAAUAGAGCUACGGAAAGGAGUGUGAAAUCACACCUAGAAGGCGGAUUUAGCAGUAAAGCAGGACAAUAAAGCCCCC
rnacentral:rRNA from 1 species